GAUGAAGAACGUAGCGAAAUGCGAUAAGUAAUGUGAAUUGCAGAAUUCCGUGAAUCAUCGAAUCCUUGAACGCACAUUGCGCCCUUUGGUAUUCCUUAGGGCAUGCCUGUUCGAGCGUCAUUUAAACCUUCAAGCUAAGCUUGGUGUUGGGUGACUGUCCGCUUCACGGCGGACUCGCCUCAAAAUUAUUGGCGGCCGGUACAUUGGCUUCGAGCGCAGCAGAAACGCGAACUCGGGCCCGUCGUAUUGGCUCCCAGAAGCUAUCUUCACAAUUUUGACCUCGGAUCAGGUAGGGAUACCCGCUGAACUUAAGCAUAUCAAUAAGCGGAGGA
rnacentral:misc_RNA from 1 species